UAAAAAGCAUUUAAAAAUGACAGGAUGUGUGUGUGAAAGCAGCAGUGACGAGGAAAGUAAAAUAUUUGAUAGCAGUGCACAGUCGGUUUCUGUUUCAGGGUCACGUGAUCACGCUGUUGAAACUCCACCCAGGCCUUUCCUAUUGGACUGCUCGGGUUGAAACUCCACCCAGGCCUUUCCUAUUGGUCUGCUCGGGUUGAAACUCCACCCAGGCCUUUCCUAUUGGACUGCUCGGGUUGAAACUCCACCCAGGCCUUUCCUAUUGGACUGCUCGGGUUGAAACUCCACCCAGGCCUUUCCUAUUGGACUGCUCUGGUUGAGUGGAGCACUUCUUGUUCACUGUGCUGGUAAGCGUGGCCUGGAGGUGCAGGACGAGGGGAGCCCAGUCGAAUAGGCCAAAUGACUACAGGAAGUGAAUCACAGCUACUAAAGACUACAGGAAGACCAGUUGAAUAGGCCAAAUGACUACAGGAAGUGAAUCACAGCUACUAAAGACUACAGGAAGACCAGUUGAAUAGGCCAAAUGACUACAGGAAGUGAAUCACAGCUACUAAAGACUACAGGAAGACCAGUCGAAUAGGCCAAAUGACUACAGGAAGUGAAUAACAGCUACUAAACACUACAGGAAGACCAGUCGAAUAGGCCAAAUGACUACAGGAAGUGAAUCACAGCUACUAAACACUACAGGAAGACCAGUCGAAUAGGCCAAAUGACUACAGGAAGUGAAUCACAGCUACUAAAGACUACAGGAAGACCAGUCGAAUAGGCCAAAUGACUACAGGAAGUGAAUCACAGCUACUAAAGACUACAGGAAGACCAGUCGAAUAGGCCAAAUGAGAGUCAGGAUAGGCACGAACUUGCUCGAUCACUGAAGUUCGGUGAAGGAAUAGAUCGAUCUUGGUCUUUAAACCCCUUAACAAAAGUAUAAAAAGACCAGCACUAUUGGCAACAACCAUAGAAAGUAAGCUGAGUAGAACUAAACAAAGAGUAACAGUAAAGGACCUUGCUUGAGUGCUGUGUGAACCAGGGACUGAAGUGUGUUCAGGAGUGGAGCUCAUCUUUGCUUGAGUGCUGUGCGAACCAGGGACUGAAGUGUGUUCGGGAGUGGAGCUCAUCUUUGCUUGAGUGCUGUGCGAACCAGGGACUGAAGUGUGUUCAGGAGUAGCGCUCGUCUUUGCUUGUAUCGGGAGCUUGUAGGAGUCUUGACUGGUGCUGCAGAUCGUAUCACAGGCAGACCUGGAGAUGUUAAUCUGUUUUUAAAGAGCCCAUUGUGUCACAAGGUCCUUAUGGCCAAGCCACUGAGGAAGUGCACACAAUGAGGCAGCUCUGUUCUCUUUGGCUUCUUUGUUUUGUUUUCACAGAAUGGGACCAGGCAUGAGAGUGGCAAUCACACACACACACACACACACACACACACACACACACACACACACACACACACACACACACACACACACACACACACACACACAGCAUGAGAGUGGCAGUAAAAGAGUUUUACUGUGGCCUGAUGACUCCCAUCCAAGGUUCCGUGUAAAACAGAAAAACCUAGAGAGGAAAUCGGUCCGGGCUGCCAAAGUCCUCCGUUGCUCCGUGUCCUCCGG
ensembl:lncRNA